AAUACAUUGUUAUUGUUUUAAGUCACCAUGUCAAUGAUCUAUUGCUGUGUAACAAACCACCGAAAACUAGUAGCCCAAACCACGACCAUUUACUAUUUCUCAUGAUUCUGGGAGUCAGCUGGAGUCAGCUGGGCAUUGACUAGGCUCACUCACUUGGCAUCUGAGCUGGAAGGUCUGAGAAGUCUUCCUUCGCUCACACAUCAGGCACCUCCGUUGGCCUCCACAUAACCUCUGUCUUUCCAGGUCACUAGCUCUGUCUUCCUCACAGCAUGUGGUCCUUUCAGCAGGACGGUCAGGCUUCUUACCAGGCAGCUGGCUUUGAGGGAAGAACUGAACACUGCCAGCCUUCUUAAGGACUGAGCUUGGAAGUUCUAGAACAUCCACUUCAUUCUAUUGGACAAAGCAGUUACAAGGCAAACCAGAUUUAAGAGGAGAGGAAAUAGACUCAAACUUUUGGUUUGAGGGGAAGCAUUGAUGUCUCAAGAGCAAACUGAAGUUCUAUAAAUAUCCAGAAAAGAGUUGACAGAGGGAAUUUGCGGAGCAUUGGUCAACUAUGCAUACUUCUACUAGGUCAUCUGUGUCUAUUCUUCAACUAGAAAAACCCCCUCAGGAAUCCACAUGAAAGGCCUGCAUUGUGGUGGGGCCAAGCGGCCUGGGAGGUGGGAGAAGCAGCCACAGCCAGGCUGCCCAGGUUCGCCAAGGCUCUUGGUGCACCAGGACCUUCAGGCACCAGCAUGCACCCUCCUGUGCCACCAUGCUGCCACCAUGCCAAGAGGAAGGUCAGCUCUGCCAAGGAGGUGGCAAAGUAGGAGCCCAAGAGGAUAUUGGCAAAGUUGUCAACUAAACCUGCUCCUGCAGAAUAGAAAUGAAGCCAAACAAACAAACAAACAAACAAA